UUUGUAAUGCUUUUUGGGACUUACUGAAUCGCUUGCUUCAGAACUUACUUGGAGUAAGUUUCUGGCUGAGAGCCUACUAUGCUUGUUUCCUUGCACCAUUGAAGAAGAAAUCUCCAAAGAAAAUGUAUGAAUUUAAUGCAAAGAACUUUAUGGCUGGAUAAGCUUGGACAGGACUGGAUGCAGUUUGUUUUUCCACAAACCCAUAACAAUCAUCAGCCAUUGUUCAGAGACCUGCUAGCCCCUCUUUCAUCAUUGGACAGGGGGAAAUUUACAUCAAAGGCAGGCGGCGCUCUCUCAUUGGCCAAGACGUGCCAAACUUCCACCUCUCCAGGGAGCCCUGCUGACCUCACGCUGGCUCAGCCAGUCUCAGAAAAGCUGGGUCCAGCUGGGGGCGGUGGGAAUUUUGAACCUGAAAACUGUAUAAAAGUGCAUGUUUUGCUGUGUUAUGUACUUCAGCCUAUUUUGGCGAAUUAUCACAGGCUGGCAUCACUUUCAGCUGAAAUUAAAUGAAAUACCUCUUUGGCUUCUGCUUCAA